rnacentral:rRNA from 1 species
GUGGGGAAUAUUGGACAAUGGGGGCAACCCUGAUCCAGCCAUGCCGCGUGAGUGAUGAAGGCCCUAGGGUUGUAAAGCUCUUUCGGCGGGGACGAUAAUGACGGUACCCGCAGAAGAAGCCCCGGCUAACUUCGUGCCAGCAGCCGCGGUAAUACGAAGGGGGCUAGCGUUGCUCGGAAUCACUGGGCGUAAAGCGCACGUAGGCGGAUCUUUAAGUCAGGGGUGAAAUCCCGAGGCUCAACCUCGGAACUGCCUUUGAUACUGGGGAUCUCGAGUCCGGAAGAGGUUGGUGGAACUCCGAGUGUAGAGGUGAAAUUCGUAGAUAUUCGGAAGAACACCAGUGGCGAAGGCGGCCAACUGGUCCGGUACUGACGCUGAGGUGCGAAAGCGUGGGGAGCAAACAGGAUUAGAAACCCUAGUAGUCC